GAGGGUAUAGCUCAAUGGUAGGGUGCCUGCCUAGAAUGCAUGAGGUCCUGGGUUCAAUCCCCAGUACCUCCA
rnacentral:tRNA from 1 species